UACGUAGGGUGCGAGCGUUGUCCGGAAUUACUGGGCGUAAAGAGCUCGUAGGUGGUUUGUCGCGUUGUCCGUGAAAACUCACAGCUCAACUGUGGGCGUGCGGGCGAUACGGGCAGACUGGAGUACUGCAGGGGAGACUGGAAUUCCUGGUGUAGCGGUGGAAUGCGCAGAUAUCAGGAGGAACACCGGUGGCGAAGGCGGGUCUCUGGGCAGUAACUGACGCUGAGGAGCGAAAGUGUGGGGAGCGAACAGG
rnacentral:rRNA from 1 species